rnacentral:rRNA from 1 species
UUUAAAGAGAGUUUGAUCCUGGCUCAGGACGAACGCUGGCGGCGUGCCUAAUACAUGCAAGUCGAACGAAUAGAGGAAGAGCUUGCUCUUCCGAUGUUAGUGGCGGACGGGUGAGUAACACGUGGGCAACCUGCCUGUAAGUUGGGGAUAACUCCGGGAAACCGGGGCUAAUACCGAAUGAUAAGAUGUGGCGCAUGCCACGCCUUUGAAAGAUGGUUUCGGCUAUCGCUUACAGAUGGGCCCGCGGUGCAUUAGCUAGUUGGUAGGGUAAUGGCCUACCAAGGCAACGAUGCAUAGCCGACCUGAGAGGGUGAUCGGCCACACUGGGACUGAGACACGGCCCAGACUCCUACGGGAGGCAGCAGUAGGGAAUCUUCCGCAAUGGACGAAAGUCUGACGGAGCAACGCCGCGUGUAUGAAGAAGGUUUUCGGAUCGUAAAGUACUGUUGUUAGAGAAGAACAAGGAUAAGAGUAACU